AGCGAACGCUGGCGGCAGGCCUAACACAUGCAAGUCGAACGAACCUUUCGGGUGUAGUGGCGGACGGGUGAGUAACACGUGGGAACGUUCCCUUAGGUUCGGAAUAACUCAGGGAAACGUGUGCUAAUACCGAAUGAGCCCUUCGGGGGAAAGAUUUUUCGCCUUUAGAGCGGCCCGCGUCUGAUUAGCUAGUUGGUUGAGGUAAUGGCUCACCAAGGCGACGAUCAGUAGCUGGUCGGAGAGGAUGAUCAGCCACAUUGGGACUGAGACACGGCCCAAACUCCUACGGGAGGCAGCAGUGGGGAAUCUUGCGCAAUGGGCGAAAGCCUGACGCAGCCAUGCCGCGUGAAUGAUGAAGGUCUUAGGAUUGUAAAAUUCUUUCACCGGGGACGAUAAUGACGGUACCCGGAGAAGAAGCCCCGGCUAACUUCGUG
rnacentral:rRNA from 1 species